UGGGGAAUAUUGCACAAUGGGCGCAAGCCUGAUGCAGCCAUGCCGCGUGUAUGAAGAAGGCCUUCGGGUUGUAAAGUACUUUCAGCGGGGAGGAAGGCGAUAAGGUUAAUAACCUUGUCGAUUGACGUUACCCGCAGAAGAAGCACCGGCUAACUCCGUGCCAGCAGCCGCGGUAAUACGGAGGGUGCAAGCGUUAAUCGGAAUUACUGGGCGUAAAGCGCACGCAGGCGGUCUGUCAAGUCGGAUGUGAAAUCCCCGGGCUCAACCUGGGAACUGCAUUCGAAACUGGCAGGCUAGAGUCUUGUAGAGGGGGAUAGAAUUCCAGGUGUAGCGGUGAAAUGCGUAGAGAUCUGGAGGAAUACCGGUGGCGAAGGCGGCCCCCUGGACAAAGACUGACGCUCAGGUGCGAAAGCGUGGGGAGCAAACA
rnacentral:rRNA from 1 species